rnacentral:rRNA from 1 species
AUGGACAUGUCGAGGGUGGGCGUGCUGCGGGCCUUCGUGGAGGCUUGCAAGAAGGACCCGGCGCUGCUCGUCGACCCCAGCCUCGCCUUCUUCCGGGACUACCUCACCAGUCUCGGCGCCGACCUCCACGCCGCCGCAGCUGCCAAAUCCGGCCCCAAGGUCCCUACCCACCCCACUCCCUUGAUUUCUGUUCCGAUCAACGAGGAGGACGGCACGGACAUGCGGGACCCCACCGUGGAGACCGACGAGCUCGACGAGGACAUCGUCGAGUCCGAUCUCGAGCUCGAGGGGGACGUCGUCCAGCCCGACCACAGCGACGCUCCCCAGAAGAUGGGGGAUCCUUCGUUCGAGGUGACUGAGGAGAGUCGCGAUGCAUCCCAGAAAGAAAAGGGCAUGGCGACGGAGGCAAUAUCAGAAGGGAAACUGCAAGAAGCUGUCGAGCAUCUUACCAAGGCAAUCCUCCUGAAUCCAACCUCUGCAAUGAUGUAUGCUACUAGAGCAUCUGUGUUCAUUAAAAUGAAGAAACCUGCUGCUGCCAUCCGUGAUGCCAAUGCAGCCCUACAGAUCAACCCUGACUCUGCAAAAGGCUACAAGACUCGUGGAAUGGCUAACUCUAUGCUGGGCAAGUGGGAGGAAGCUGCUCGUGAUCUGCAUGCCGCAUCAAACAUUGAUUACGAUGAUGAGAUCAGAACUACCCUCAAGAAGGUGGAGCCUAAUGUACACAAGAUAGUGGAGCACCGCAGGAAGUAUGACAGGCUCUGGAAAGAGAGGAAUGACAAGAAAGCUGAGCGUGACCGGCUUCGUCGACGUGCUGACUGCUGA